rnacentral:rRNA from 1 species
GACGUAGGGUGCGAGCGUUGUCCGGAUUUAUUGGGCGUAAAGAGCUCGUAGGCGGCUCGUCGCGUCGACCGUGAAAACCCGCGGCUUAACUGCGGGCUUGCGGUUGAUACGGGCGGGCUAGAGUUCGGUAGGGGAGACUGGAAUUCCUGGUGUAGCGGUGAAAUGCGUAGAUAUCGUUUGGAACGCCAAUGGUGAAAACAGGUUGCUGGGAGUGUGCUGACGCUGAGACACGAAAGCCAGGGGAGCGAACGGG